CUUGGAGUUCCCGUCGUGGUGCAGUGGUUAACAAAUCCAACUAGGAACCAUGACGUUGCGGGUUCGAUCCCUGCCUUUGCUUAGUGGGUUAAGGAUCUGGUGUUGCCAUGAGCUGUGGUGUAGGUUGCAGACUUGGCUCGGAUCCCACGUUGCUGUGGCUCUGGCAUAGGCCAGCGGCUACAGUUCUGAUUAGACCCCUAGCCUGGGAACCUCCAUAUGCCGCAGGAGCGGCCCUAGAAAAGGCAAAAAGCCAAAAAAAAAAAAGAAAAGAAGUGCCAGACCCACUGGGCCUUUGAAAGCAAGAGAUUAGGUUUGAGCUUUCCCGGCCCCUGUUGGGGAUGGGUGUCAACAGCACAGAGGUUUGGCAGAAGGGACCCUAGCCUGGCAGCUUCCAAAAGUCAGAUUUUUCAUUCUCCUCUGACUGUAGCUAGGUCAGCCAGCCCUAACUUUGUGCUGUCAAAUUAGAGCCCCCACUGCAGAUUUGGCUUCUAAGAUCAUCCUUCAUGAGAGUCACAGAACUACCAGCUCUUUGAUGACUUACUCAUUCCAGCACUGUUGACUAUUUCUCCAAGUUCUGCCAGCCGUACCCCCACCUCUGUGUCUCUGAGGCUCCACUGCAUGGCCCAGGGGACCCAGGGUCUUGCCAAGUGAGUCUCCUGCCUGUCACCGAGUCCUUCUGCCCAGACACCUUGCUCAGCAGCUUAAAGGCUGGACUGGCCCCUGACACGCAGCUCAGGUCCCAUGGCAGCUUCAAGGGUCCUCUUCACAUUUUUCAUUAAGGUGCACAUGGCUCCUCAUGCCAGCAUCUGGCAUUCUGACUUCUGUGUUUGCCAGUGUCAUUCCCCAGCGCAGUCACAGCCCUCCUGUUUCCCUUUAACAUCCAUUCCUUCCUAAGACUCACCAUUGUUGCCGUCUUACUUGAGGAGCCAUCAGAAGUAAUUCCCACCGGGCCUGGGCAGCCCCUUCGUGAGAACUCCAGGAAGGAGAGGGGCUUGUGAGAUGCAGAUUCUGGCACUCUCCCAGCCCAGGAACCAGAACUCCUGGGUGCAGGUCAGAGUUGGCUUCUCCCGUGACUCCCCACUGCCUCAGGAUACAUAUAUUCCUUCCACCCUCAAAGACAAAUGCUCAUUGAACAGUUUGAUGUUGACCCAGGACUUUCAAAUCAUCAUGUGGCUGUCACAACAAACCAAGUUAUAUGAUUGUUCUCCUUUUGUGUACGAUGAAACUGAAGCUUCAAGAAGUGUCAAACACUCCAAAUAUAAUUCUCCACUAAAGUUGUUUGGAAUUUAUUUACAAUACCCCCUAGUGAGGGCUUAUCUGGCACCUUUCAAUCGAGAGUGUAGAGGGAGUGACAUCCAGCAAAUGGAAGUUCCCAGGCUAGGGAUCAAACCUGAGCUGUAGCUGCUGACCUACACCACAGCCACAGCAAUGCCAGAUCCAAGCCACAUCUGUGACCUACACCACAGUUCAUGGCAACACCAGGUCCUUUAACCCACUGAGCAAGGCCAGGGAUUGAACCCAUGUAGUGUGUUUGUUAUCGCUGAGCUACAACAGGAACUCCCAAGAGUCCUUAUUUAUCUAGUCACUUAUGAUGGAGCAUGAUAAUGUGAGACAAAAGAAUAUAUAUAUAAUGUAUGUGUAACAGGGUCACCAUGCUGUACAGUAGAAAAUUGACAGAACACUGUGAACCAGCUGUAAUGGAAAAAAUAAACAUCAUUAUUUAAAAAAAAAGAAUGCUUAUUUAUAACACAGUAAACGUCAGUGGUACAUUAGUGCAAAGCAGUUCAUUGUACAGAUGAUUUACCUGUACUGAUUUGGAGUCCAGAGAUUAAAAAUUUCCACUGUGAACUUUUCCCCUUUUCCAGAACAUAAGCAAGCUUUGGAUUUCCUCUUGCAUAGUAGUUUGUCUUCCUGUUUCUGUCCUGUAUCUCUGUACUUUCCAUCCUGUCCUGUGGGAAAAUGAUUCAGCACAGAACCGCCUUCUACAAUGUACUCCUCCUGCACCCAUGUUCUCAUGAAGGCCCAAACCAUUUUGUAGAGUCCAACAAGUGCAGACAGGAGUUCCGUGUGGCUCAGUGGGUUAGGAACCUGACAUGUUGACUGUGAGGAUGUAGGUUCCAUCCCUGGCCUUGCUCAGUGAGUUAAGGAUCCAUUGUCGCCACAAGAUGCAUCACAGGUCACGGAACCUUGGCGUCACUGUGGCUGUGGCAUAGGCCUCAGAUGCAGGUCCAAUUCAACUCCUAGCCCAGGAACGUCUAUAUGCCACAGGUGUGACUAUAAAAAG
rnacentral:lncRNA from 1 species